rnacentral:rRNA from 1 species
GACGAACGCUGGCGGCGUGCUUAACACAUGCAAGUCGAGCGGUAAGGCCCUUUCGGGGGUACACGAGCGGCGAACGGGUGAGUAACACGUGGGUGACCUGCCCUCAGCUCUGGGAUAAGCCUGGGAAACCGGGUCUAAUACUGGAUAUGACUCCAUGACGCAUGUUGUGGGGUGGAAAGCCUUGUGCGGCUGAGGAUGGGCCCGCGGCCUAUCAGCUUGUUGGUGGGGGAUGGCCUACCAAGGCGACGACGGGUAGCCGGCCUGAGAGGGCGACCGGCCACACUGGGACUGAGACACGGCCCAGACUCCUACGGGAGGCAGCAGUGGGGAAUCUUGCGCAAUGGGCGAAAGCCUGACGCAACGACGCCGCGUGAGGGAUGACGGCCU